UCAUCAGUCUGACCUCGUGUCUGCUGGAUUUACCUGCAGAUCUGGGGCCUGUUUCACGAAACUAGGAUUCCGUCAUCCAGGAUGACUGACUAAGCCGCGUUCAACGAAUCCAAAACAUGGGAGUCCAGGCUUAAUCGGUUUCACAAAGACCAAGCCAGGAUGAACGGACACGGAUUCAUCAUGCCAGGUGGAACUCAUCCUGGAUAAGUGCGCGCACCCGGCUUCCUCAAAUAGACCCCGACAUCGAUCGCAGAUUCACCGAUUCACCAUGGUAACUUGAGCAGCAGACUCUACCCCGUCAGACGCAAAACUCCUCAUUUUGGCUAAUGAGGAACUGAAAGGAGCGAAUGAAAAAGAAAGACAACAUCACCACAGUUACAAAAACAACCAGAGACAGCGGUAAAGGACUGCAGACCACCUGAAUGAAUGGUCCAUGCUGACUGUCUCAUCAGUGUUGUGUCUCAGUGGUCUGGUUCUGGUUCAGUCCGUGACUCCUGAGUCUGUCGGACCUCUGGAACCUGUCAGCGCCGAUCACAAGGUGAAUUGUCUGGUGUGUUUCUGGGACAGGGGGUCUACCUGGGGACAGGGGGUCUACCUACC